rnacentral:rRNA from 1 species
GCAAGUCGAACGAAAGUUUUUAACUUUAGUGGCGAACGGGUGCGUAAUACGCGAGAAUCUGCCCUUAGGAGGAGGAUAACUGCUGGAAACGGCUGCUAAAACUCCAUAUGUCGAGAGAUGAAAAAUUUAUUGCCUAAGGAUGAGCUCGCGCCUGAUUAGCUAGUUGGUGAGGUAAUGGCUCACCAAGGCCACGAUCAGUAGCUGGUUUGAGAGAACGAUCAGCCACACUGGGACUGAGACACGGCCCAGACUCCUCCGGGAGGCAGCAGUGAGGAAUUUUCCGCAAUGGGCGAAAGCCUGACGGAGCAAUACCGCGUGAGGGAUGAAGGAUUUUGGUCUGUAAACCUCUUUUCUCAAGAAAGAAGUUCUGACGGUACUUGAGGAAUAAGCAUCGGCUAACUCCGUGCCAGCAGCCGCGGUAAUACGGGGGAUGCAAGCGUUAUCCGGAAUCAUUGGGCGUAAAGCGCCUGUAGGUUGUUUAAUAAGUCUGUUGUUAAAGCCUAGGGCUUAACCCUAGAAAAGCAAUGGAAACUACUAGACUAGAGUAUGGCAGGGGUAGAGGGAAUUUCUAGUGUAGCGGUGAAAUGCGUAGAUAUUAGAAAGAACACCGGUGGCGAAAGCGCUCUACUGGACCAUUACUGACACUCAGAGGCGAAAGCUAGGGUAGCAAAAGGGAUUAGAUAUCCCUGUAGUCUUGGCCGUAAACGAUGGAUACUAGAUGUUGUGCGUCAUGUACAGUAUCGUAGCUAACGCGUUAAGUAUCCCGCCUGGGGAGUACGCUCGCAAGGGUGAAACUCAAAGGAAUUGACGGGGGCCCGCACAAGCGGUGGAGCAUGUGGUUUAAUUCGAUGCAACGCG